UACGUAGGGGGCUAGCGUUAUCCGGAUUUACUGGGCGUAAAGGGUGCGUAGGCGGUCUUUCAAGUCAGGAGUGAAAGGCUACGGCUCAACCGUAGUAAGCUCUUGAAACUGUAAGACUUGAGUGCAGGAGAGGAGAGUGGAAUUCCUAGUGUAGCGGUGAAAUGCGUAGAUAUUAGGAGGAACACCAGUUGCGAAGGCGGCUCUCUGGACCGUAACUGACGCUGAGGCACGAAAGCGUGGGGAGCAAACAGGAUUAGAUACCCGGGUAGUCCCUGA
rnacentral:rRNA from 1 species